rnacentral:rRNA from 1 species
CCCUGACCGGGGCCUGUCCGUAGCGGGUGCGAGGCCCAUAGCCGCCUCUUCCGGUCCGGAUGCGAUCUCCUGGGAGUCGGGUUGCUUGGGAGUGCAGCCCUAAUCGGGUGGUAAACUCCACCUAAGGCUAAAUACCGCCGUGAGACCGAUAGCAAACAAGUACCGUGAGGGAAAGUUGCAAAGAACUUUGAAGAGAGAGUUCAAGAGUACGUGAAACUGCUCAGAGGUAAACGGGUGGGCCCUCGAAAUCCUGUGGCGAGAGGAUUCAGUCUGGCUCUGCGGACCGCUGUGCGGAACUCGACAGUGCUUCCCCGGACGGGGGCCGUCUGCACGGCGGACUUCUGCGGUUCCAGACGCAUUUGUCUCUCGCCCUGAGGACGCUGCAGCCGGUCUGGCAGCGCAAGCGUGACGGCCUGAAGGUCGGGUAAUGGCAGGUGGCCGGUGGCUCUCCUCGUGGGAUUCGCCGGUUGUUAGCCGUCCCGUCGGUGGCUCGUCGCUAGACCGUGGUGUCGCGAGUCCCUUCCAGGGACUCCUCGUCUCCACCCCAAGGGUGGCGGGACAGACGGUGGCUAGGGUCGUCCGCGCAAUCCGUCGCACUCCCUCGGAGUGGGCGGAAUCGUAGGAUGGCUCCGCAGGCCGCCGCGGGCCCGUCGGGGACCGGAGGCUGGCAGCGAGUAGGUCGGUCACCCACCCGACCCGUCUUGAAACACGGACCAAGGAGUCUAACAUGUGCGCGAGUCAAUGGGUCUUGAACAGGCCCAGGGGCGCAAUGAAAGCGAAGGUCGAUCACGCGUCGACCGAGUCGGGAUCCCCGGCUCCGGCCGGGGCGCACCGACGACCCGUCCUAUCCGGCUCGCCGGUUGGGCGGAGUUUGAGCGUACACGUU